rnacentral:rRNA from 3 species
GGUAGAGCACUGUUUCGGCUAGGGGGCCAUCCCGGCUUACCAACCCGAUGCAAACUGCGAAUACCGGAGAAUGUUAUCACGGGAGACACACGGCGGGUGCUAACGUCCGUCGUGAAGAGGGAAACAACCCAGACCGCCAGCUAAGGUCCCAAAGUCAUGGUUAAGUGGGAAACGAUGUGGGAAGGCCCAGACAGCCAGGAUGUUGGCUUAGAAGCAGCCAUCAUUUAAAGAAAGCGUAAUAGCUCACUGGUCGAGUCGGCCUGCGCGGAAGAUGUAACGGGGCUAAACCAU